rnacentral:rRNA from 1 species
UACAGAGGUCUCAAGCGUUGUUCGGAUUCACUGGGCGUAAAGGGUGCGCAGGCGGUGGGGUUAGUCAUGUGCGAAAUCUCCGAGCUCAACUCGGAUGGUGUACAUGAAACUGCCUCACUUGAGAUUUUGAGAGGGGGUUAGAAUUCACGGAGUAGCAGUGAAAUGCGUAGAGAUCGUGAGGAAUACCAAAGGCGAAGGCAGACCCCUGGCAUUUAUCUGACGCUAAGGCACGAAGGCCAAGGUAGCGAACGGG